GACUCGUUCUCCUUACGGUGGUUGUUUCUCGGGCUUUUUGAGAACGACACCAGACAAGCUUUACCGUAGAAGGAUAAGGGAAGUUUCAGACACAUUGGGACAGGAUUUCCACUGAACAAUGUUGAUAUUUAAGACUAUAUGAACAGCCUCCAAACUUGGUUACAAUGUGGAGAUUCAGAACAUAUUUACUCGACAGUGUUCUCCGUUAAGUAAAAAGGAUUAAACUGCUUGGUCCAGGGUGCUAGCCAACGGUUUUUCUUUUUUUUUUUUUUUUUUUGUGGACUGGAAUUAAAUAUUUCAUUGAUGACUGAAAAAGGCUUUUUUUAAAGACUGGAGGACAGUUUUUGUUUUGUUUUUUUGUUUGUGUAUUGGAGAUCAAUAACUAAUAAGCUCCAUCAGCUCUACCGCCUCCUGCUGACUGCAUGGCUGAAGUUCACCUUUGGCUUGAAGUGGUUACGGCGCCGCAAGACCAUUAGUUUGAUCUUUGCUGUUCCAGAUCUUCAGAUGGAGAUAGAGGCUCUCCACUGCUUCGUCUUCGUCUCCAUCUCCUGUCCUCCGCCUUCAGAGGAAGAUCCCAAGGAUGGAGAUUCCCAACAGCACAUGUAAUCAUGACUGCAUGUCAAUGACGAAGAACCCAGGAGGACUGAUGGACUCAUGGCACCAUAUUCGGACUACUAAGAGGAACCUGUUUCCUCGCUAGGAGGAGGGAGUGAACUGUGAAUGCUGGAACAGCUGAACUAUGAGAUCUCGAACCUGCACAGAAUAGUUCUGCUCGAGUGCAGCCAGAGUGAACUUUACAAACACGACACACACAUGAUUAAUAACUGAAAUACACUCA